rnacentral:lncRNA from 1 species
GACAGUGCGGCUGUAGCUGGCUGAGCGCAGCGCGUCCCUGCCUGCAGCUGUGGCACGGCAAUGACCUACAGCCCGUGCUCCUCCCAUUGAUGUGGGUGCACGCAGACUUUGCAGGGUCCAAGCUCUGCAUUUUAGUACUCAUUUUGAAUGAGUUUUCUUUAAAUCACGUUUAUUUUCGAUGUUGGCUUUCUCGGGACCGCAUUCAGGAUCUGAGCUUUCUGCAGGAGCAUCUUUGCCAAGAAACUCUUUCAGGAGAUAAUUUAAGGAAAAUGAGCACCAAAGAAUGGAAAUUACAGGAUUGAAUUCGCUUAAUUCAAAUGGAAAAAGUCUUCAUGGUUUCUACCCAGCAGUCAGAAUCCAAGACAACUCCUCAUUUUGUUGAAGAAUUGUCCAGAAAUGAAGAAGACUUUCCUGUCAGAGGGAGAUUUCUCUGCCAUGGAUCUCAUCUGGGUUCUGGAAACUACUGUUCCCCUGAGAAAAUGAAGGGAAUAUGGACCUCUCCAGGAGUCAAAUUUCUGUCUUUUGCAUACCUGCACUGAUUGGGCUUCCAAGGUGGGAGAUUUCUUACCUUCUCCUUUGGAUAGUAACAGCAGAGCAUUUGUUUGGUCCACCUUGCCCAGGGAGGAGGCUACCAUCAGCACUAGUGGGCAUGCAGGUUCAGAGAGAUGGGCAGGAUCUGCAUGAGCCUUGAACCAAGACUGCUGAACACAAUGUCAGUAGGUGUUUUGCUUGACUUUACACUCCAUGUUUGGGCAUGUUUGAAAGCAGGCAAGGCAGUUGACUGAAUGCAUUCAGAUCUCCAGCCCAGAGGAGAUGACAAUUUAAUUUUGAAUCACAGAAUCACAGAGUAACACAGAAUCACAGAACUGCAGCGGUUGGAAGGGACCUCAUGAAAACGAAUCCAGCUCCCCUGCUAAAGCAGGUACCCUACAGCACGUUGCAUAGGUAGGUGUCCAGAUGGAUCUUGAAUAUUCCCAUAGAAAGAGACCCCACAACCUCUCUGAGCAGCCUGUUCCCCUUACUGUAAAGAAGUUCUUCUGCAAGUUGGUACAGAACUUCCUAUGUUCAAGUUUUAGGUAAUUGUUCCUUGUCCUGUUGUUACACACCACUGAGAAUAGACUGGCCCCAUCCAUUUGCCUUUGACCUCCCUUUAGAUAUUUAUAAACAUUUAUCAGAUCUCUCCUCAGUCAUUUCACCAGGUGAACAGACCCAGGUUACUCAGACUUUCCUCAUAUGUGAGAUGGUCCAAGUCCUUUACCAUCUUUGUGGCCCUCCACCAGUCUCCUUCUAGGAGAUCGCUGUGUUUUUUGAACUGAGGAGCCCAGAACUGGACACAGUACUCCAGAUGUGGCAUCAUCAGGGCAGAGUAGAGGGGGAGGAUCACUUCUGUUGACCUGCUGGCCAUGCUGAUGACCAGCAGGAUGAGCUAAAAAAAAUAGGAGAUGAGGUUGCCCAUAGAUGCAACCCUCUUGGAGCUUCUCUAAAACAAGCCCAUCUGUUUGCUCAUAUUUACCCUGUCUGGAUGAUGCUACAGACUUUUUUGCAGCUAUCAUUUCCCAGUGUUGUUGAAUUCAGGGUGGAAAUAGUGGUGAGAACAUUUUCCUGGGACUCUUCCUCCCCUCUGAACUGAAAUGGAGCCCACCCCUGGCAAGAGAUGGGCAGGUGGAAGACAGCGUAAGUGUUGUGUGGAAAGGGACACUGACCUGCUCUGUCGUCUCUGAUGAAUUACUUCCACAAAGCAGCAACGUGGUUAUCUUUAACAAGAACUUUGUCCAGCACAGCGAGGCUUUGCUUCAGCUUCGCCACUGUGGAAUACUCUCAUAACUUUAAUUCAUAUCAGGGGUCGAUUGUGAGUUUAAAUAUAUGCAAUGCACUUUUAAGUCUUGUGCAAACAAAGACCAGACAGGGACUGGGACAAACUGAUGCAUGAGCAACCAUGUUGUUCCUUCUCCAGUCCAAGAACUGGAUUCUUUCACAAAAUCCUCUGUGUGGCAGUGAUAACAAGACAAAUAUUUGACAUAGCUGUAAGAUAACACUCUGACACACUAGUAAACACAAGUGAAUUAGUGGUUAUGAGAGAGACCCCAUGACACAGUUGCUUGCAGUAAGUUGGAUGCCAUCUCUUAGAAGACUUCUUGCAACCUGUUCUUAUCGGUUUUUGGUACAGAUUAAUGGGGAGUCUUCCAGUAGGAUUUGGGUUACUGUCUGGCAUAGACACUUUUGAAAAUCUUACCUUAUCUCUAUGUAAUGACUAUGUAAUUCAUGCAGUGUGUUGAAGGUACACUUGAAAAAGUAGGUCUGGAUCGUAAUAUCCCUCCCUGCAUCCUUCUUUCCCAUCAGGCCAAAAUGGCACACCUCUGUGUGUGCUGGAUUACAAUUUAUGCUGAAAAUGUUCCACAAAGGUCAUAGCAGCUAUCUGAGGAACAAGCAGAGCUGUGCACCCUGCCCUGUGCUCAUGUAGAUUACCAGAGGUAGCAAUAAGGCCAGGGACUGUGUGCAGUAAGGAAAACUAGAGAAACUUGGAAACUGCGCAGGCUUUAGAUUGUAGAGUGUUACCAAGGGCUCAGAUGGGAGAGUUUACCAGAAGAAGUGCAAUUUAGAAAUUGAAACAGAUGGAAUUUCAGUAUCCUUUGCAAAUUGGCGUAUCAGACUCCUACAAUAGCUUGCAGAAUCCUUGUCCCUCCCAGUGCAUAGCUGGUUCUUACUCCCUGAACUUGAUUUGUUAACAUCUGAUGUCGAAGGGUCUGUUUCUUAUUUUUGUUGAGUUAUACCUUAAAUGUGUCCUUUUUGGCUACUUAUGUUCUCAUUUCUGCAAAGCGGCAGCCAAGCAGGGGCCCAAGAGCUCAUUCCUGGCCUUCAGAUUUAUUCCCAUCGCUUUGAUGGGUUGAGUCUGGUGCUGCCUGUAUUGCAGAGCACCUGGAUGGGGCGAUCACAGGCAUUCACUGGCACUGUGAUCUCAGCUGUGGAAACAAUUCUGCUGGCAGCAGAAGCUCAGUUUCACUGGGGAGGGGCCCAUAUUUCUUGUUUGAAGUGUGUGAAGCCUCAUCACAGUUCUGUUAUCAGACCCACUGGAAUUUUUUCCUUUCCUCUCUUCUUGGUCCACCUUCUCUCAUUCCUCUAAAUCUUACUUUACUUCUGCUUCUUCUCAAAGUCCCUAAUGUUACUUUUCUGGCUCUUUUUUUCUGUAAUCUCUCCCUUCAUUUUUUCUUCACCCAUUAGCUCUUCCUUCACAAUGCUCCUCUACUGCCUCCUCCAUUUUCUCUGCCUCUCUUGUUCACUUUCCAGGUGCCUCUCAUUCUUCUCCCCAUGUCCUCACUUUCAUUUCUUCUCCAGAAGCUCUCUGAAUUGCUGCAGCUAUGGGGUAUACCCCUUGGAAAGAUAGCCCUGUCUGAGUUAGAGGUGCUGUGAGCUGCAGGUCUGUUGCUGAUGUUAGUAUUUUUUUUGACAAGUGACACAGGUGACACAAGUGACACAGGGGGCCCAUGGAGCCAAGUAGCGUAGCUGGGCAGUAGAAGGCAGCUUAUGCCACAAAAGACAUCACUUGCUCCAUGGACCAAAAGAGAUUACAGCCCCAUUCCGACACAUAAACCAUUGAGGUUUACUGAAAAUAAGGAUUGAUUUGCUGGGCUAUUUAGAGGCAUUAAGAUGCAGAUAUAUAUUUUCUCCCCAGUCUGAUGUCAUUUUGCAUGUUAACUGCCUAAUUCCUUUUAGCCUAUUGAUUUUACUGGUUUAUAAGAAUGACACUUGUGUAGAAACUGUGGAGAACUUUGCUCAGGGUGACCAGUGAAGACUGUCAGUUUCUCUCAGUCGUCUUAUGGGGGGACUGAAGGCUCAGCACAGUUUAAGAGGAGAAAAAAUAGGGAGAGAAAGAACAAUGGCACUUCAUAGACCAUACUCCUUAGGUUGUAUCUGACUCUGGCUAAAUGACCUGGACUGAAAAAUGUUUUCCUGAGGCUCAGCUCAGCUGACAUCUGCAGCAUGGUCCUCAUAUUUUGUGAUAGUCGAGAGUGGUAUUCAUGAAAUUCUGUGUCAACUUCUUUAGCAUAUUAAGAUUGAAGAAUGCUAUGAAGUAAGCAUGAAUAUCAUUAUUCAAUUUCUCUUCCUUCUAGUAACUCUGAUUUACUUCAGAUUUUACGUGAUCUCCCAAUUAUCAGAGUUUGAUGUGCCACAGGUGUUUCUAUAAGCAUACUGUUGUAUUGCUUUUCGUUCCUUGGAGAACAGUUGAUGCUUUGCCAAUGUCUGAAUGGACCUGCUAACUCUGAGAGCAAAGAAGUGGUUAAUUUGAUAAUAUUUAACUUGCCAAACCAUUCAUAUGCAGAGGUAACGUGCUCAGGAGUUGAACAGGGCAGUGCGAUCUCCCUUAGCUAUCAUUUCAGGAUGCCUGCAGAAUCAGGAAGGCCGUGUAUCAGCUUACACUCAACUUGGUAAUCUUGCAUGGGGCCUGUUUGUGUCUCUUGUGCUGAAGGCUGAAUGUAAAAUGAACAUUGUUAGCCAAGAAAGCAAAUAAAGGGAACUAUUUCCCAAGGCAUUUUACUCUGUUUAUUUAACGCCUCUGAACAAACCCCUUUCCACAUCCUCUGAACCUACUGGCAACUUCAGAUAGCUCCAUUUCCUGCUGGGUGAGUUUUUUCUAAAAUGUUUAUUCAGCUCCAGGAAAUGAUGAUUUCCUGAAUAUUCUGAAACUUCAUAUUUUUGUUGUAUCCCUGUUUAUUUAAUAGUCUUACUUAUUGUGUGAGUGUGCAAAGCACAACAACAUCCCUUGCCAUGUAACUGUGGAAGGAGUGGAACUUGAUGUAGUACAUCAAAAACCAGUUUAAGUGAAACUAGAUCUGUUUUUGCCAAUUUAUACACUAGUGUAUUUCCAUUAGCUUGAGUAGUUACUCCUUAUUUACACUGACCUUAAUGAGUUCGGAAGUAGGCUUUUAAAUUUCUCCUACUCCUUAAGAAAAAGUGCCUAAAAAUUCAAACUAGUGAAGGAGAAUUAAUUAGCCCAAAGCUCAACAUUUUAUAAUUCACAGCUUACAUUAAUGUCUGCUAGUUUUCUUUAUGCAGGAAACCAAUAGAAGGCACCAAAUGUUUUCGUCGCCCUCCACUGGGACUAAAAUUGAGAAAUUCUUAUUUUCUGAGGUCAAAGCUAACCUGUAUCCAGCACCCCAUCCCAACAUGGGUUUCACUAAAGAGAUUGAAACCUGUACACAGCCUUAAUGAAAAGGCCAUAAUAUUUUAUGUGAACCAGGAGUAACUAUGCUGAAAUGAGAAGUGCUUCACUAAGGUAAAUCAAGUGGGAUUGGUCCCAAAAGAAAUUCAGGAAUUACAUAGCUUUGCCAUUAACCUUGAACUGAGCCAAGUGUGUCUUCCAUGCUUUCUCCUUCUUUCUUGUCUACUUUUUGUUAACCUGCAUGGUCAGCUAUGACUUUUUUUUUUUUUCUUUUCUUUUUACAGGCAGAAAAGGUAAUUUAUGUUUCUUCUGAGCCUCAAGAGACAAUAUGGGCAUGCUGCGUUACCAUGCCCUAAAUGAAAUCUUAGAGUACCUAAGUAAAACUCACUCCACCCUUACCUGGAAGUUCCACUCAUGGAAACCACAUCCUUUCAUUGCCACCCACGUCUCCAUUCGGAAAGGACUUUGAAGGAGGAAGACUGAAGAUUAGAUCAUUCUUUUAUUAAGCAUCCUUUUGUCUGUUUUGCUCCAGAAACCAUGCUCUUCCUCUCCUAUGAGUCAUUUGUUGUUACUCUUACAACGUCUGUGGUAGGAAGGCUGGGUGCUUUCCCCCAAUUUAAAAUGUUCUUUUUAGAGUCUCUUCUCUUCUCUUCUCUUCUCUUCUCUUCUCUUCUCUUCUCUUCUCUUCUCUUCUCUUCUCUUCUCUUCUCUUCUCUUCUCUUCUCUUCUCUUCUCUUCUCUUCUCUUCUCUUCUCUUCUCUUCUCUUCUCUUCUCUUCUCUUCUCUUCUCUUCUCUUCUCUUCUCUUCUCUUCUCUUCUCUUCUCUUCUCUUCUCUUUUUCUUCCCUUCCCUUCCCUUCCACUCCCUUCCCUUCUCCCUUUCCUCUCCUCUCCCUUUCUCCUCCCCUCCCCUCCCCUCUCCUCCCUUCCUUCCUUCCAUGUCCCUUCUUUGUUUUUUGUUAUGCAUUUCAUAUUCAUUCACUAUUUUUACCCAAUUCAGACAGAGCCAUGCUACAUUGUGGACUAUUGCCAAAAAUUCUGCCAGUGACAAAGAUUGAAGCCUUCAUACGAACUGGAAGGAGUCUGUUCUUGGUCCACCCCAUGUGAAGCAACACUGUGCCCAUGCAUCUCUAUCUGAGAUGAAUAUUCUUUCUUUUGAUGCCAAGUAUUUGAUGUCCACCUACUGAGCUGAGUAAUCUCUGAGGAUGCCAUUGUUGCCAUGUUACCUCCUUCCUGAGUUCCUGUUGUGUAACUUUCCCACCAAGGCCUGAAUCUUGAUAUGUUUGCUGUAUGAUACUACCACAAUUCCUUAAGGAGUAACAUGAUAGUUUUCUGCAGAGGAAUGUUUUCUGAACAUGGCCAAAAUAUGGCAUUUGGAAAAGUGAGCUGCACAUCAUUUCUCCAAAUGAGAAUGCAAAUAGCGGAGAAUGCAAAUAGCUGGCCUUUUAAAGCCUCCCUGAAAAUUUCAUAGACAACUCAGAUCAAUAUGAUUUAAAGGACUUCUCUCCUGACAACACUAACCCUAUGGAUAGUCCCUCCCAUGCUGUCUGUGAUCAUCCUACCAGGCCCUGCUGCCAGCAUGAAAAAUACAAUAUCAAGUUUGAGGAAAUCUGUGGCAGAAAAUAAUACCAACUUUUGCAUGUACUACUGAGUAACUGGACUCCAAAAGUGAAACAGAGAGAGUGACAAGUAAUGAUGGACAAGAAAAGGCUCAUCCCUUAGACACAAAGCAAGCUCCAAGAUCUGCUCUUCCUACUUGUGUUAUAUUUACCUUGUCUUUCUGUACUGUGGAGACACAGGAACUCACAGGGCAUGGUGAUCCAAGCUUGCAAAUGGAAACAAGGUCUACAGUCUCGGUGAGGAAGCUGGCAUGGUGGGGUGUGUUAAGGCCCACAACAUAUUACAUGAUGAUGGAUUGAUGGGACCACAUCAAGGGGCCCUGAGAGCAAUGUGGCUCUUUGGCCCCAUAAUAACACCAGUGACAAAAAUCAAAGGAAUAAGAAGGAGCAGUUAACAUUUCCUCCACAAAUGCUAAAAACAGCACCAAAUAAUGUGUAUGAAUCAUCAUAUCUACUCUUACGCAAGCUGGAAUAAAAAUGUAAGAGUCAUGCAAACUGGGAUAAACUGUCACGCUCUGAGACAUAAUGCAUCUCCAGAAGUAAAGAAGAAACUGUUCCACAGGCAAGACUUGGCAUAAUUACACUCUGUGCGGGAUUUUGCACCUUUCUUUAAAGUAUCUGUGCUAACAACUGCCAGAGAUGACGUACCAAGCUGCAGAAGGCGUUUGGCUAACCUGCAGUGGCAGUGCCUAUCUCACUACUGGUUUAAUUCUGUCCCCCUUCCACUUUUUCACUACACACCCAUGCUACGAGACUGUAUGACAAAUGCCACUCAAAGGCAAGAGGUACACAUCCAGUAUUAGGUUUGUAAGGCAAUUAAAUUGUCCUUUUAAUGUUCUCUUAAUCACUGUGGUUUCUGUAGCGCCAUAUUAGAUACAUGUUGAAAUGAUGUCUUACUUCCACUGAUUAUACCAGUGUCCUUGUCUUUAAUGCAUUCACACUUCUGAAAGUUACUGCUCUUUUUGUCUUGUCUCCAGCUACAAUAUUCAGAAGACUAUGUUCUUAAAAGCAGCAAUUAGCACAUUGCAGUGGUACAGACGUCAACUAAUCCCCAUGGUGAUGAGAUCCCAAAGGCAAAGCAUGUGCUAACAAUCUGAACAAUACCAGGGAGCAUUUCUGGGCAUUGGGACUCAGUCAUCUAUAUUGCUAAAUUACCAGGAUCCCUCCAGGCACAUUUUCAGCCCAUCCUGACCACCAAUGUCAAACAGUCCCCAGUAUUGGAGUCAGCUUGGGACACUGACCAUUCCCCUCAAGCAGUUCGGAUGUGAUCACCCUCCCCUGGAGAGUUUCACAGUGCAGAUGAAAUGCAUCCCAUUCUGUGCCCAGGGGGCCUCCCUUCCAGAGGACAGCAAUAGAUGCAGUUAAUACAGUAAUGUUGAUAGCUGAGGUUCUCCCAUCUCAUAUUCACUUCUUGCUUUCAUUCCCUGUACUCAUGAAAUUCUUACUCUCGUCUGCCUUCUCUUCUGCUUUAUCACAUAGCGUGGUGUGAUGCCCAUGACUUAAGCAAGGAUAGCCAUCAUUCUUCGUGCUCCCCCAUAAGCAAGGUGUUUAGGGCUGCAGGACUCAGAGGAUGCCCUGGGUUCUGGAUUUUCUUAUGUUUAGAAUCCCUUUCCUCAGAGCCAGGAACUACAGUGAUUUAGCAAACAGUGUGAUAUCUAAUAGCUAGCAAGCUGAGAGGUAUGGAACAGCCAACGGGGAAAGCCCUGCAAAAGAACAGAGUGAAUCCCAGAGCCACAGCUGGGUGCCUAUGGCUGCUACCUUUGGUGAAAACUGAUGGUGCCUGUCAUUUUGGGGGAUUAGGUUCUUGAACUAGCCCUGUCUUAGAGACUGUUAGGUAUAGAGGCAGGCCAGUAAAUGAUUUCUGGUUUCAGGAGUGGCUGGGGGGAUUAGUAUACACAUGUGUUUACAGCCUUGCAGUGGCAAUAGGUUGCCUAAAUGUUCUGUGGAUCAAACUACACAUCAGCCAGUGCUGAGAUUUACAGGGCUUCCUUGCAGUUCAGCUUAUUAUGGCCCAUGGUGCCUCACCACAGUUCUCCUGGCAAGUGUCUUAGCACGAAGAGCCAGACCAAGGUCAGGAUACUUCCAAAUUCAUCAAAAAGGGACUGAAAUUAACCACAGGCAGUGCAGGGCACUAUGUUGUCCCCAUGCAGCAGUAUCACAUUCCCCGUUGGGUCCCAUGUGUCAUCCAGAGCUGCUUGAUGUGCUGUGUUAUAAGCACAGGCUUUCUCUAUCCGAACCACACCAUAUGGGUGCCUCAUUCCUUUUACAUGCGGCUGCAGGUUUCCUGCUGCAUAUGCUCAGCCUCCCACAGCUGGAAGCAGUAAGAGGUAGUUUGAUCUACAUGUUAUACUCAGGAAGGAUUGAAGUUUGCAAAUUUUUAGCACUCUGCACGCUAGCAGGCCCAUAAUAAUCUUUAUUGGCGGGUUUGUUUGCUUUAUGGUUGCAAUUUUCAUCCUUCGAUGAGAAGCUUCCAGCACUUCCUGCAGGAGCAGAAGGCUAUUGUCACUUUAUCACUUCACAGUUGCAGAUCUCUGUCCACCACUCACUGGUCUGUGGUAAACAACAUCUCCAGCGUUGCUUCUGUCCGUCAAGGGAAAGGGUUGAGCUGGCAUUUUGCCACAUUUGGCAAGUGUGGGCUGAUACAAACGAUACGAGGUUUUUUUUAUAGUGCCUAUCACCAGAGUAUCAAAGCGCUGAAACACUGCUAGUCGUGUUUGCCUCCCCAUUGAUCUUAUCACCAAAGGCCAGUCCUACCAUCCGUCUUCCAUGUGGUAUUGCUUAGAGGCUUCGUUUUGUCAGAUAGGCUGCUCUGCAUCCAGUGCUGGGGUAGGCUCUAACUCUGGGAUCUGGUUCCAGGCUUUAAUUAGGACUGAUGGCAAAUGGGCUGUUCACAAAUGCUUUUUGCAAGAUGACUCCUGCACAGUCAGAAGCUCUCUUAAAUUCAUUUGUCUCAUGUAGUGAACUUUUCAUUGCUUUAAGAGGCCUACGGAUGCUGCAGGUGUUAAAACUGAGGUCAAAGUAUUCUACAUCAGGUGGAACCCACAUAGGCAACAUCCUAGAAACUAAUUUGUAAUAAGUCUGUGAUGUUCAGAACGAGAUGGUUCUGCCAAUCUGAGCUGACUGACUGUUUGUUCAUGAUCUAUAUAAUAGUUGCAUUAGACCUUUUAAAUUUCAAUAUAUUUUUAUGCUUUGGCACUCUCCAGACACAUUGAAAUAAAUCUUGUGCAUUUCUGCAUGUUGCAGCAACUGGGUAAGUGCUACUGUGGUCAGUUUUAAUAGGUAUUAAUACAGUAAGUAGCAAGCAAAUUAUAACUGUUUCACAUUAGACGUAAUUUUACAGCAGACAAUUUUAUAAGGAGAAUGGAAUGAAUCAAAUACAGUAGUUUGUAUUAAAAUAUCUUUUACAUUCCCUGUGUUCCAGUGGAACUGAUGACAAGUCUAAGGAAGCAUGCUAGGACAAACAGACCAGAAAAUUAAAUUCUUCUAGCUUUCAUAUGCCACAGCAGGAAUAAUUUGGCUUUUUUUUUUCUUUCUUUCUCAGCCUUUCUUUCAAUUUUCUUUUUUGGAGAGAGGAUGACAAUGUAGUAUUACAUUUCCAAAUCCUAUAAAAAACCAUACAUUUUCAGUUUCAUACAACUAUGGUCUGGUUUAGUUCCUCUGGAUGGACUCUAAUGUGGUAUUCGUGAUAAUGUCAUUUACUUUGCAUGUGAAUAAAGCCAAAUGGUUACACACAAGGCUUGAAUCUCAUAGCUCUGGAUCUUUGGGAAAUGUUUAUUCUCUCAAUUAAGCAUAUAUAUAUUUGCCAGAUGUACAAGGUCUCACAGCGUUUUUAUGUACACCCCAUGCUAAAAGAGUCUGUGCUCAAGCUCUAGAUCCCACUGAAUGCAGAGCACUUCAACAUGUGGGUGUCUUUGCACUGAGGCAUUGGCUGCUUUGAUCUCAGUGUUCUUCGUGAGUCAGGAGAUCACUGUGAAGGCUCUGAGGGACUUCGUGUCUGCUGGCAUCAGUGGGGCAUCCAGAUCAGAUCUUCCUUAGUAAGAUGGGAGCUUAUUCAGCCUGAUUUUCACUGUCCAAAGGUGGAGUGCCUUGCCUCGACUAGCUAUGAUCAAUAUGGACAGAGACACACCUAUCAGGGAGCCAUUUAUUUCAUGCUUAUGUAUGAGAUAAUCAGUCUUAUUCAAGACCAGUGGGAGAACUGGCUCCUGUCUGUAUAUCACCUGUAAGGAGAGCCCAAACAACAGGCUUGGCUAGGUGACUACCAUUCAGAUAGCUGUGCUAUAGGGCCAAGAUACAGACAGGCUGCCACCUGGGUGGAGACAACCAUCUACAUGUGAUGCAUGUGGUGAUGGAAGUCACCAUGUUCUCAAGCCCUUUCUUUACCUUGGAGCAGACACAGCACUGGUCAUAAAUCAGCAGUAAAUAAAAUGCUAAAACUUAACAAGUUGAAAAGAAUAAUCAACUCAUGCUUACAUAGGAGUUACAUGAAAACUUCCUAAAAAUAUUUGCGUUAUGAAUCUGUCUAUCCCUGGUCUAGAGAGGUUCCAGCAGUC